rnacentral:lncRNA from 1 species
GUCAUAAUUUUGAUUGAAAGAAUGUAGUAAGUCUCUAGUACUAAGCCCCAUUAAUGCAUGGUUUCCAAAGGUCCUUACAGUGCAAACUUAGUCACGCCUUUAUUCAUUUGCAUACAUAAUCCACUGCGCUAGAAGUAAUACCAAAUCUUUCAGAUUCAAAGUUAGACUUUCGUGAACUUGCUGGAAAGACUGGACAAACAGCUGGAAGAAUAAAUAAAAGUUAACUAUAUCAUACGUAGUUUGGCGUUCGUUGAUCUUCCUGUUGUGCUGGUCAUUGCUUUGUAGAUUAGCAUGUUUCGUUUGCUGAAUCAACAGUGGGUUUGGUAUUGUCAUUGAACAUCCUCCCAUUCAUAUGUAGAGUAGGCUUGAGUCAUUUUAUGAGGAGAAAUCAUUGCUAGAAUUAGCACAGAUCUCCUACGCGUUGCUAGACCCUCACUAGGCAUGUUUCUCUGUGUGUUUCCUUACUCUCAUCCUGUUUGGCGCUUGUGGCAACAAGCAUCUUUGGUGAUUCAGUCAGGAGGACAAGAUUUAGCAAUAGUAGCUUCAGCCUUACUUCAGGUGAUUUUACACAGAGACUUGUUACCACGGAAAGAGGGGAAUAAAUCUGAAUAGUCUCCACUGAGCAGUGCUCUCUAAUACAUGGCAGGGGGUUUAGCAGAGGUCAAAACCCUCUUUAAUAAGUAGUGAGUAGGGAUUGCUGCUUAGACAUCCUUCUAUGGUGGUACCCAUAACGACCAGAGAAGCAGCAGGUGGUAGAAACGCAUAGGAGUACGUGAGGGUCACCCCUGCAGCUCUAAAUCCAUUUCUAAUACCAUGCCUACGCAGCAGCAAUACAUGGAGAUGAAGGGGUGAGUCCUCUGCCAGCGAAGACGGGGAGUUUCUCACCUUUCCAGCUUUGUGAGAAAGGCAUGCUGCAGGGAGCUUUGGACACGGCUUCUGACCGUGACUGCUAAUUACAGGGUGCUGUCUCUGCCCUGUGAAUCAAAUGAAGUCUGUGACCAAACUGACAGCCAGUGAACGCUCUUCCCUUAAAUUACUUAUGUCUCUGUAAUUGAUGUAUUGUAACGCUCAUUAAACCUAAGGUUACACUUACUUCUUAAAUGUUACUGAAAA